GACAGAGGGUGCAAACGUUGUUCGGAAUUACUGGGCGUAAAGAGUGUGUAGGCGGCCAUGUAAGUCGGAUGUGAAAGCCCCGGGCUUAACCGGGGAAGUGCAUUCGAUACUGCGUGGCUUGAGUAUCGGAGAGGUUGGUGGAAUUCUCGGUGUAGAGGUGAAAUUCGUAGAUAUCGAGAGGAACACCGGUGGCGAAGGCGGCCAACUGGACGAAUACUGACGCUGAGACACGAAAGCGUGGGGAGCAAACAGG
rnacentral:rRNA from 1 species